rnacentral:rRNA from 1 species
AUGGGAGACUUCAAUGAUAUCCUUGGUCCAGUAGAAAAGACUAGCAAUGCUUAACCCAAUCGCCAUCACAUGGUCAACUUUAACCAUCAUGUUAAACGAUGUGGUUUAAUACAUAUAGGCUUUCACCGUCCUGCUUAUACUUGGUGUAAAAAGCGUUUUUCUUCUAUUCCUACUUGUGAACGUCUUGAUCGUGGUUUUGUUAAUGUGGAAUGGUGCCAAAAGAAUCCUAACACUGUUGUUUAUAACUUGCCCAUCAUGUACAGUGAUCAUGCUCCUAUUAUUACUAUCACCCAAACCUCAAUGUUAAGACCAAAAGACCUUUUAAGUUUGAAAAUUGCUGCUUGGUCUAAUACCAACAACAAACCUUUCCAUAGGCGCACCUCUAAACUUGCAGGUUCUCUGAAACAGUGGAGCAGAUCCUAGCAUCCCCUUUAA